rnacentral:rRNA from 1 species
ACAUCCAAGGAAGGCAGCAGGCGCGCAAAUUACCCACUCUCAAAACGAGGAGGUAGUGAAGAGAAAUAACGAUGUUAGUCUUUUAUAGGCUGACAAUCGGAAUGGGAACACUGUAAACAGGUUAUCGAUUAACAAUUGGAGGGCAAGUCUGGUGCCAGCAGCCGCGGUAAUUCCAGCUCCAAUAAGGAAAACUAAAGUUGCUGUGUUUAAAAAGCUCGUAGUUGAAUUUCGGGUAUUUGUUGCUAGCUGGUCUUACUGGCCAUGUUGGUUAACAGAUCCUCAUUUGCUGGACGGCUGGCGAUGAUCUUUAUCGAUUGUCGUUAGUUGCCAGAACGUUUACUUUGAGAAAAUUAGAGUGCUAAAAGCAGGCUCACGCCUAUAUAUAUUGCAUGGAAUAAUGAAAUAAGAUCUCGAUUUUAUUUCGUUGGUUUUAGAAAUUGAGAUAAUGAUUAAUAGGAUCAGAGGGGGGCGUACGUACUGUGGUGUGAGAGGUGAAAUUCUUGGAUCGCCACAGGACGAACAGCAGCGAAGGCGUUCGCCAAGAAUGUUUUCAUUAAUCAAGAACGAAAGUUUGAGGUUCGAAGACGAUUAGAUACCGUCCUAGUUCAAACCAUAAACGUUGCCAACUGUCUUUUAGAUGCGGUUAUUUACAUGACUCAUCUGGCGGAUCUCGAGAAAUCUAAGUUUUUAGGUUCCGGGGGAAGUAUGGUUGCAAAGCUGAAACUUAAAAGAAUUGACGGAAGGACA